rnacentral:rRNA from 1 species
UACGUAGGAUGCAAGCGUUGUCCGGAUUACUGGGCGUAAAGCGCGCGCAGGCGGCAGUACAAGUACCCUCUGAAAUCUCCUUGCUCAACGAGGAGGGUGGAGGGUAGACUGUGCAGCUAGAGGAGGGUAGAGGGGGGUAGAAUUGCUGGUGUAGCGGUGAAAUGCGUAGAGAUCAGCAGGAAUACCCGUGGCGAAGGCGGCCCCCUGGGCCCUAAAAUCCCCCUUUUGGAAAGCACACCCUUCGGGGUGGAAGCUGCCGAUAGGAAACCUGACGCUGAGGCGCGAAGGCUAGGGGAGCGAACGGG